rnacentral:lncRNA from 1 species
AUUACUUUAUUCUAAACUACUGUACAUCAACAGUACUUGAACUUUGGGUUCUUGGACUAGUACAACCUGAGUUCAGUGACAUUUCCCCUUGAAAUCUGUAUUUUAUUAGACCAAGGCUCAACUGCAGAGUAUGUGUCUAGUUUAUGUUGUUAUUAUGGGUUCAGUAAUUGUCUUCAUCUUGUGAAGGGAUACCGAAUGUACAAGACUUUGUCUUGAAAACAUUCUAAAGUGUGAAAGAAAUGUAGAUAGAAUUUCAAAAAUUUCCUAGCAAAUAUUAAUUUUCAAGUCAAACCAACUUUAGAUGCAAAAAUGGUUAAUGGCAAUCAUCAAUUAUAUAUUUUGGUUAGUUAAUAUUGUUUUAUACUUUGAAAUACGGAUACAUAGCAAAAUCCCAAAGAAAAAGAAUCCCAAGUCAAUACUCUUUUGAUAUUUUUAUAACACAAAAAAAUUUGCUUCUUGAUAUUAGUUCUUUGUUAUAACUAGAUGCCAGUAUGACCUUCAUAUGAAUCUUUUAAAGUUUCCCUCCAUCAGUAGGAAAAACAAAAAAGACCUACCAGUUAGUUAAUAAUGCUUCAGAAUUCUUAAAAUUUUAAUACCAGAAUCUUUGUGCUUCUCAUCUCUCUCUCUCUCUCUCUCUCUCUCUCACACACACACACACACACACACACACAGAAUUACUUUUAUUGGAAACAAUUUAUUUUUCAAUUAUCCAUUGUGCAUAUCAUUAUUACUCAAAAAAGUGAAACAUUAUGUAGAUAAAAUAUAUAAAAUUCUAAUUUCAUACAAUUUACUGAAUGUAUACCAGAGAAAGAGUUGAAAGUAGAAGAGACCAGAAAGACUAAUAUUAGAUAUGACUGUUUAUUCUUAUUAACAUUGGUCCAUAUCAAGUGAAUGCAAAUAUAUUAAUAUAUGACCACCCAGUUUUCAAGAUACUCAAUCCCAUUGUUCUUCUUACUGCAAAGCUGUUUUUAGGUUUGAUACUUGCUGUUUAAGCAACAAGUCGAUUGACUUCUGUUUAGCAACUUUGAGUUAAAAAAUAAGGUAAUAAAUACUUGUGGGGAAAUAGGUUGAAAACAAUAGUUUAAAUGAAAUCUCUCCUCCAUUGGAGAAUUAGUAUCCUAGUUCUGUCAAGAAUGAAGGUCACUUUUCACCCUUGGCAGACACACUCUGGAAGUGCCCUGAUAAAAGAAAUUCCCUGGCACACUAAAUCUUUGAGUACAGAGAGCAGGCAGCACCAACAUAAUCCCCAAUGUUACAUAAUUUCUAACAACAUGAAAAAUUUAAACCUGUUAUAUUUUAAAAGAAGUUCUGGAGAGAGCUAAAAUUUCUAGUGAAAUUUUUCUUAAGAGGAAAAUAAAUAACCUAAAAGCAAUUUUUAUAACCAGGUUUGGUCCCAUGUUACUAUAAAAACAAUUCUACAGAUGCUUCUUAUCUCAAAAGCACUCAAUAUUUGAAUGUUAUUAGAAACUCUCAUGACAUUUUAGGUGUAGAAUGUGUAGACCCAUAGCCCCAGUUUUCUGAAUCCAGCCAUUCUCUUCCUCUCAAUCUCAGCUAUCCACCUGAUCACAAUGCAGUAGUUCAUAGCUCCAUGAAGGAGAACCUUCCUCUCAAGAGAGUCUAAACAGUGUUCACCUAAUAGAGCAUAAAAUAGAUUCCUGCACAGUUAGCAAUCUACAAAGUCUGACUAAAAAGAACCAAAGCAUCCCCUGAGAGCAUACCAAUGCUCAUUUCUCUGCAUAAUUCACAUACUCCACAUCAGUCUCAACUCCUGAGAUGAGCCUUGUCAGUCCACAAUAUAGGAGAGACACAUGCACCUUGCUCAGGUGCAGAGCUCAGGGGCUUUCAGAGCAUAUACGUGUUUACUUUGGGGAAAAAAGUAGAGGAGGGGUAAGGGGCGGGGAAUGAGGAGAUUAUGGGCAUCCUCUUUAACCACUCUCCCUCACCAGGAUGAUUGGUUAUGGAGGACAUGUGGGGCACACAGACCCAAGACUGUUCCACAGAGCCUGCCCCUUGCCCUACAGUAGAAUUGGUGGAUAUUUUGAGUGGAAGUUAUCUGAGUGGUCUGCAUUCCGAAGGUGCUAAUGUGCUCCUCACUUUAGAAAUACUCAAAAUUUGAGGAGAUGACAGUUCCAUGCUUGGACAAGAAUUGCAAAUUUUUGACCACUGUGGAUCAAACUUAAAACUGUGACUAUCUCUCUCAAGCCACAUUCUGGGUGAGGGGGAUAAAGAAAAACUUACAAAGGCAUUUUACACGUUAAUAAAAUUAGAUCAAAAUGCCUCUUCAGAAAUUAAAAGGUUCCAACACCACAGGCCAGAAGACUCUCCAGAUACUGGACAGAGAAAGACACUGUUAAUAUAAUUUACUGUGGACUCAGCCAAAACUGCCCCCAAUUUACCCAAAAUAUGCCUUAAAAUAAAACAAAGCUCAAAUAUGCAUCUUGUAAGAUUUUCCAUUUCCUGCAGUCAGCUAUAUUUCAUUCCAGGUUUUAUUUCUCUUUUAUGCUUAGAUGAGAAGAGGACUUCAUUUCUUUAUAUGACAAACAGUUUUAUCCUCAACUUUAUAUCAAAUCAGUUCAAUUAAAAAGUUUCUGUGGAUUCUUCAAUUGAGGAAAUGCUUGCCCUGGAUCACAAGCAUUUUCAUAUGCUACAUACGGGAAAUUGGGGCCAAUCUGAAAGUCAGCAACCUAGUCCUUGUGAUGAGGCUGUGAAUGUCCAUAGAGAAUCUUCACACCAACUCAUUUGAACAGGCAACAGCCUGCUGCAGUAAAAAUUAGUUGUGAGGCAAGUUGCUUCACAGCUCUGCAAAAUGUCACGCUCUGGAAACAAUGGAGGAGGGAGACCAGUAACCCCAUUUCCAUUGACUACUGUUUGCCACAACUGGCAAGCAACGGGCCACUCUAUCCAAAGGGCUAGAAUACAACACAGACAAACCUCUACUUCCUCAGUCAUUUUAAUCUUGGCUGCCAAACUGAACACUUUUGUGUUUUCCUUUGAGAAUGAAAAAAUAAUAACUGGUCUCCAACCAUUAUUCUUACAACCUUAUAAAUUCAAUGUUUUCAAGGCACCAAGCAUUUCAAAUCCACUCUGUGAUCUUGCAAAAGUUUAUAAGCUUUUUUCAGAGAGUUUAUAAGCUGUAUACAUAUGAGAUUUCACCUUCAAUUUAUAUUAAAAAUAGUGAAUGACCUGAGACAAACAUAAUCUCAUGUAAAUACAUACAUGUUCAAAUGUUAAACUCCAUCUGUGUUUCUAAACUGUCCAUUUUGGGCUUCAGAACACUACCUUUUAAAAAUAUUAUUCAGAGAUGUGUUUGGAAACAAGGGGGUAAAGAACCAGAUUGUGAAUACAUUGUAAAUGUUCAAUUCAUAAUUUUCUGCUGGUUCUCUUUCAAAUUUCCUAAAUUAGAAAGUGUAUAAUCUGUACAUAUUUCUUUUUCUCAGUUUGGCCUGUAGGAAGCAGUUAGGUUUAAAGAGGUUAGAAGUACCUCCAUCUUUGUUAUCUGUAUAAUCAAACCCAAAGGACUAAAAACUAACAGUUCAAGAUAAAUGAUAAAUUUCAUCUCUGACUUAUCUUUUAAUAUAAAAAAUAGAUUUCUAUGAUUACAGGGACAAAAAAAAUGUAUGUCCUUAGAUGGUAGGGUAACAGCUUAGCCAUUCUUUACUUCUGUAAAAAUAAAAAGUUGUUUUGUUCUGUUUUUAA